rnacentral:rRNA from 1 species
UACGAAGGGGGCUAGCGUUGCUCGGAAUCACUGGGCGUAAAGCGCACGUAGGCGGUUUUCUAAGUCAGGGGUGAAAUCCUGGAGCUCAACUCCAGAACUGCCUUUGAUACUGGAGAGCUUGAGUCCGGGAGAGGUGAGUGGAACUCCGAGUGUAGAGGUGAAAUUCGUAGAUAUUCGGAAGAACACCAGUGGCGAAGGCGGCUCACUGGCCCGGUACUGACGCUGAGGUGCGAAAGCGUGGGGAGCAAACAGG